AUGACAGAGCAUGUAGUAGCACCAUAGAAAUUUGGAGCACAUAUUUUAAAAAGGGAAUUUUUCUGGAUUUCAUUUAUGCCUUGGAAGCCAGGGAUCCAUUUAAUCACAGGAGCAGAAAAUCUAAUGCACUGGUAGCUCUCUAUUUUUCAUAUUUCUCUAUUUUCCGUAUGCAUCUGAAACUGUUGGAAAGCAGAAAACAGAAAAUUGCUUUUUAAAAACCAUGUUUUUGGUGACUGGUACCCCUGAGAAAAUUAGGCAAGUUCUGACCACAGCUCUAAGCUGCUAAUGCAUGUGUGGAAAGAAGAGGGGAGGAGGAAGAAGACAGUCAGCUACUGAUUCAAACAGAGCACAGAAUUCCAGCACAAUGAAGCAUGAACAGGAGUGGUGGCAGAGAAGAAAGCUGACUGCACCGCGUGAGCUGAGUUUGUGUUUCUGUGUUUUGCCUGUUCUUCAAGUGGGUACAUGUGUCAUGUACUACUCUUGUUCAGGAUUUCUACUUGUGAUGGUUGCUGAAGACAAAUCUCUCCCUGAAGAUGUCAGUUCAUGGUACAGGAUGGGAGCUCUCAUAAAUGUAAUAAUGUAGUGUUGCCUAGCCAGAAACUCCUGUAAUAAUUCAAUUUUCUCCUUGUGUUUGUGGAAUAUAACACUAUAAUAAUGUCAUCUCCUUGCCAUUAGUUGAUUUUUAAAAUACUUACAAUUUUGAUUUGGUUCCUAUACUAAUACAAGUGCUUAGGCUUAUUCUAACACAUAUAUUAAUACCAAAAUCUUAGAAACUCAUGAGUGGCACACUUACUUGAAUCUGGCAUCAUUGGUUACAGAGGGUCCAACAUGUCCAAAGUCUAGGCAUGGUGUCAUGUACUCAUGUUUCAGAAUAAAUUACUGAAGGUGUAUUUUUUCCUUCCA
rnacentral:lncRNA from 1 species